UACGUAGGCAGCGAGCGUUGUUCGGAAUCACUGGGCGUAAAGCGCGUGUAGGCGGAUGAGCAAGUCUGCUGUGAAAGCUCCUGGCUUAACCGGGAGUGGUCGGUGGAAACUGCUCGUCUGGAGGACGGUAGAGGUAGGUAGAAUUCCCGGUGUAGUGGUGAAAUGCGUAGAGAUCGGGAGGAAUACCUGUGGCGAAGGCGGCCUACUGGGCCGGACCUGACGCUGAGACGCGAAGGCGUGGGGAGCGAACGGG
rnacentral:rRNA from 1 species